AUGAGGAACGGCGGUGGCGGCGGCUCGAGCGGUUGGGGGCAGCACGGAGGUUCAAAUCGGGGCGGCGAGGCGGGGGAACGGCGAGGAAGGCUGGAGCGAGGGAUCCGGCGACCUAGGCAGGAGCUCGCCGGAGUCGGGCGAUGGCGGACGGGCGCGCGAGGCAGAGGGAUCCGGCGGUUCGAAGUCCUUGCAGGCAAAGGCGGACCUCCAUGGCUGGCGGGGGGGCUCCAAGGCCAUGGCGGGGCUUCGGUUUUCCUUGGUAUAGAAAAGAGAAACAGAAGAGGAUUCAGGGAAAAGAAGAGCGGGGAUUCAGGGAGAAGAAGAACGGUGGAAGAAGGAUGGCUGGCCUCCUCGGCGCAUGCCAUACGAUCUAAAGGUUCAUAUCAGACAAGGCAACCACAACAGUACAGCCAUGAUAAUCUCAUGGGUGACAACAGCCAGAACCUGGAUCGAGCACUGUGUUUUACGGGACUUCAGAAGAUAAUCUCAAUUGUUCUGCAAAGGGAAAGCAUUCGUGGUAUACGUUCUACAAAUAUACCUCGGGAUACAUUCAUCAUUGUACAAUCAAGAACCUGA
rnacentral:rRNA from 1 species